GCGGCGUGCUUAACACAUGCAAGUCGAACGAUGAACCACUUCGGUGGGGAUUAGUGGCGAACGGGUGAGUAACACGUGGGCAAUCUGCCCUGCACUCUGGGACAAGCCCUGGAAACGGGGUCUAAUACCGGAUACUGACCCGCUUGGGCAUCCAAGCGGUUCGAAAGCUCCGGCGGUGCAGGAUGAGCCCGCGGCCUAUCAGCUUGUUGGUGAGGUAAUGGCUCACCAAGGCGACGACGGGUAGCCGGCCUGAGAGGGCGACCGGCCACACUGGGACUGAGACACGGCCCAGACUCCUACGGGAGGCAGCAGUGGGGAAUAUUGCACAAUGGGCGAAAGCCUGAUGCAGCGACGCCGCGUGAGGGAUGACGGCCUUCGGGUUGUAAACCUCUUUCAGCAGGGAAGAAGCGAAAGUGACGGUACCUGCAGAAGAAGCGCCGGCUAACUACGUGCCAGCAGCCGCGGUAAUACGUAGGGCGCGAGCGUUGUCCGGAAUUAUUGGGCGUAAAGAGCUCGUAGGCGGCUUGUCACGUCGGUUGUGAAAGCCCGGGGCUUAACCCCGGGUCUGCAGUCGAUACGGGCAGGCUAGAGUUCGGUAGGGGAGAUCGGAAUUCCUGGUGUAGCGGUGAAAUGCGCAGAUAUCAGGAGGAACACCGGUGGCGAAGGCGGAUCUCUGGGCCGAUACUGACGCUGAGGAGCGAAAGCGUGGGGAGCG
rnacentral:rRNA from 1 species